rnacentral:misc_RNA from 1 species
AAGGAUCAUUACAAAUCCGUGAGUUUGGGCGUGUUGGUGGUAAAUCAUCUCCUCGCCUGAAUGAACACAUUGGCUCAAGGCCGCAAGGUCUUGAUGUUUACGCUUGUUUGUUUGACAGAGUAAAAUGUGACUAAAUAUAUACAACUUUUAACAAUGGAUCUCUUGGCUCUU